AGAACGUGCUGUUUGAAGAAAGCUUCCAAGACGCUGCCCGAUGGCUUGCCACGGAGCUGGAAAUACCCACACUGUCUGCUCCCGUGCUUGCAAAAGUUAUUUUACCAGCAAAGAAAGAUAAUGGUCUCAUCGUGUCCCUGGUGCUGCAAAGAGAGAAACUCCAUCUGUAAGAGGGAAAGUUGGACUGAAGAUUAGCUGAAAGCCUUGAACUAGCAGACUUCACUAGUCUGCUUGAUUUAUUAAGGCGGAAUUUAUGAUAAUCUACAGUAAGAAAAAUCAAGUAAAAGGUCGCUUAGCUGGAGUAAAGUUUGGAUUUAGUAAUGUCAUGAAGAGACAGGGAAUUUUGCUGCAGCUUCUUGCACCUACCUCCUUCUCCAGCCACUACAUUCUGCUCCUCCCUCUUCCUACUCAGGCCCCCACCCAGCAAAGCAAAAACACACAUCUGUAUCAAGACUAAAUAAAAUUAAACAGACAUAAAAGCACUGCAAUUAAUGGCUAUUUUCCUACUGAGUGAAAAAUUGGAGUCAGGUUACAGGUCGCGCUUCCCAAAUACCUGUGGAUGAAACAAAGGAAAAAGUGGAUACAUGUGCGAGGAGAAGCUGACGGAAGUUACACCCAUCCUCUGACAGCUGAAAUAGAACUUCUCAGCAGAAUGGCUAAGAUCCAGUGUGUGUGUGUUUUCUUUCCUGGACUCCUCCUUCAGAGACCUCCUCAAGCUUCAAGAAAACCUUUGUCAAUGAACUACAGUGAGAACCUUUCCCCUUUUGAGGACGGGGGAGGAAAGUUGAUAAUGAAGACUGAACUAUGAAAACUCCCCUCAGUCCAUCUGUCUGUUAAAAAAGGAGUGAUGUCUCACUCAUGCAUCAUGAAGAUAGACAAUCACACCUUGGAAUUGUGCAAUUCACCCAGUACCUUGUCCCAACAAUAGACGGGCAAAGCUAUUCUGAAGAUAAUGAAGGAAGAGACAAUAGACUGUCAAGGAAGAGCUGCACUGGCAAUGAUGAAAGCAAGGAAGGUGGUGGAACUACCAAGAAUGAGACAAGAACUAGGAUACUUUGGAACGAAAGGAAUCAGUAGAUUUAUUCAUUGGAGGUAUGUGGAACCUUGCAGGAUUGGGACAUUAGCUAUGACUUGACUUCCUUCAAAGGAAUAAGGGGCCCACCAUAGUUCACAGUUGCCUGUUAUUAGGGUAUUUCCUUAUUCUGAAAGGAAAUAAUGAACAGUGUAAAAUCUUUACUACUUCUCCUAUUGAAAUCAACGGGGUUUUGCUCUGGAUUUCAGUGGGACCCGGCUCAGGCCUUUCACUUGUAAUUAAUUCUCUGUCUUUAUUGAUAUUUAUUGCUAAUAUUGUAACACUCUAACAUGUCAUAUGUCGAAUUGUGUUCUAUUUAGGGUGACCAGAUGUCCCAAUAUUAUUAGGACCAUCCUGAUAUUAGGGGUUUGUCUUGUAUACAAAACUAUAGUCCCCCUCCCCUCCCGAAAAAAAAGUGUCCCAAUUUUUCACAACUGCUGUAUUGUAUUGAUUAUUUUAAGACCCUGAACUAAAUUCAUCCCCGAUUAAUGCCAAAUAAUAUGUCAUCUAAAUAGUUCUAACACUACUUCCUAUGUGAACAAGUGGUUGGAUUGAAAACAUUACAACAAAUUGGGAUAUAAUACAAUUUUCAUGUAUCUCCUUAAUACUGUUAAUAUCACAGACUUAAAUGAAGCAGGGUUUCAUGCCUACCAUCUAGAUGACAUUCAUUAAUUCCAGGGUCCUUGUCAUUCCGCAUCAGGUUCAGCACUGAAACCCCAGAGCUCAGGAAAAGCAAGGUGACUUGUUAGAAAAAUCGCUUGGGGCAUGAGGGUGAUUAUCAAUCUUUGAAGGGCAGCCUAGUUCCUUAGAGAAUCUAGAAGAGUAUCAUACUUAGGGCCUUACCAAACUUCUCGAGGAAUUAGUCACAAAUGUGCCUAUGCAGGCUUUGUAGCCAAUGUAAACAUCUUUCUGAUCAGAGUUUUCAAAUCAAGAUAUCUUAGUGCAGUUCUUGAUAGAGAGUGACAGCUUCAUGUUAUCUGAUUAUUCCACUGAAGAUAUUAUUUGACAAGCACACAGGGUAGAAUCUGCUACCAAGGCAGGUCUUGGAAGCAAUCCUGUUAGUAAGUUUUAUGAGGCAUCUUCAGGCUGCUUAACCUUUUGUAGGAUAUUUAGGCUGUGGGUGGGGAAAAGAGGUAUUCACAAUGUAAACAUUUAGCAUCCAAUGCACUUAUAUGGGACUUUACCUUGGGGAAGCAAGGGAAGGUAUGGAUGCAACUGGCAGGGCCAUGACCCAUAUUAUUUUCCAUAGUGAUGUUGUAGAAUCUAUUAACAUUAAGGCUCUAGGUCAAGGGCAGUAUUUUCAAAAAUUAAUGAGAGCAGCUGGGUGCUCAGCACUUUUUGAAAAAUAGGCUCUUUAGAUGCCUACAUAUGGAUUUAGGAGCCUAGCAUUAGAUUUGAAAAUUUUUGUCAGAAAGCCUGAAAAAUUAAUAUCAGGCAUAUGACAUUGCUUCUUUUUACUCUAAGACGCUUUGCUGUGAUUAAUAAUACAGAAUUAGAGAAAGGUGGAAUCAUAUAGGUCUAUACUCUUCACUGUCAUUGUGUGUGUGGGGCGGGGGGGGGAGCUGGGGAGAGGAAGCUGCAAUCAGUGAGAUUACAAAGUGUGUAAAUUAGAGGAGAACUGGCCCACAAAUCAGAUCUUGCAAACAGUGGUAAUGCUCUCCUGAGUUGUCCCAAAAUUCAUCUCCAGAUUGCAAUUUUUGCUGUUUUGUAUUUGGAGAUAAAUGGAGAGUCCUUGAAAGAGAAAUUUUACCUCCAUAUAAUUUUGAGAAAUAUAAACUUCAAUAAAUUAGACUAUUUCUAAAGAUGAAAGCUAGUUGACAUGUUUUCCUGUCCAGUCAUUUAAACAUUUCCAAGCUAGCUACCACAUUUCUGUGACUUUUUUCCAAGAUCAAGCUUCAGUUCAACUUUCUUCUUGCCUUCUUCAGUAAAAGCCUCUGCUGCCUUAUUGCCUGUAAAAUCCACGGUAUGGGAGUUCUUUUAGCUGCUAUAAUUUUGAUUAUCUACCAACAAGACUCUUCUAGAGUAUGUUAGUAUCAGAGAAAUAUUUCUCUCCUGCCAAUGAAAAUUUGAAGAGCUAAGUCUAAUUUUUCAAAUUAGUGUAGUGUUCAAUGAUCCAAUGCAGUUCAAAGCAAACUAUAGAUGAAUUCCAGAAGUGAGACAUUGUUUUCAGAGCAUUAUAGUUUCUUAAUGUAUAUAUAACCUUACAUCCAUCUUUGAAUUCUAAGAAAAGUGUUUUUUGUUUUGUUUUUUUGGUGGUGGUGAUCUUCCUUGCCAUUAAACACAUAGUUGCAUGUACAAUACUUGGUGUAAAAUCAUGGAAACAUACUGCUUAAUAAAUACUGUGUGUAGUGAUGAUUUUCGUUUAUCUCUUUCAAACAACAGUGAAGAGAGAAAACUGCAAUGUGCUAAAGAGUUUUCCAUUUCAUAGGCUUGCUUGCUAUAAUACUUAAGGAGAUUACUCCUAUAACCAGAGUGCUACAUCAGUUGUUCACAUAUAAUCAUGCCUAGGAGAUUUGUCUGACUGAAUUUCUUCAUCAAAUUGUGUGUGUGUCUGCCUUUAUGCUGACAUUCCACAAGAGCUAAUCUGUAUCAAGUUAAGACAGGGUCCCGCAGGGUCAAAAAGAAUCUCCAGUGUUUUAGGUUGUUUUUGAAAACUACAUGAAAGAUACAUUAAGGACAACAUUCUACAAUAGACUUGCAAGGACCUAAGCAAAUGUUAUGUCCUUAAGGUGACUUUUUUUGGGGUGGGAGGAAUGGGUAGAGAGAGGAAGUUCUUCCAGAAGAGUAUUGAAACUGACACUUUAGACAAAACUGAGUUUAAAAUAGAGGAACACAAGCUGCAUAAGCAAUGAAUUAUCCCUUUAACAUAUUUGAAUAGCUUACUAGAGAAGAUCUUAUGCAUCCGAUGAAGUGGGCUGUAGCCCACGAAAGCUUAUGCUCUAAUAAAUGUGUUAGUCUCUAAGGUGCCACAAGUCCCCCUUUUCUUUUUGCGGAUACAGACUAACACGGCUGUUAUGACCGUUCACAGAAAAAAAUAGAGUAAUUGGAGUGAGUAACCACUUGGUGUCAUCCAGGAGCUGCAAAAUUAAGCUAAAAGGCAUUUAUAAAACCUGGUCUCUUAAAGAAAGUGAUUUAGACAUAACAAGUCCAGAGAGUUUGACACAUUUUUCUUCUUCAGGGUUUUUUCUUCAGUUCUCUACAAAACUUUGCUAAGUUUUUUUUUUCCUAGGGUCAUGUAUCAUCUGUUUAAAGAAAUUUUCUGACAGAAUACUUAAGUUGAUCUCUCUUCCUCCUUGACUGAAACAGAGAGCUGCAAAUUUGACAAGAAAUUGAACCAUAUUCAUCCUUGGUGUGACUGCAUUCAUUUCAAUGGAGUUAUAUAGAGAUUAAUUUGACUCAAAGUCUUUCUCAAAACUGUACAUGAAAACACGUGGGAAGUUUUUUAAAAUGUUUGACCAUUGGUUUUACUUGUAAGAUCAUUUAUCUGAGUUAUGCUGACUUUGCAGUUUGUUUUUUUCUUUCAAUAUCAAAACUUUACACAGACCCUUAAAUGGGAAUUUAACUCUAUUUUUCUGCAGUUCUUAAGAAAGCAGAAAAAAAUUCCCUCUGGACCAGAGAUUUGUGUCAGCAAAAGUUUCAGUUUUGCUGACAGAUACUGACUAGCAGAAAAUAUGCCCUCACCUCUACUGCUGAGCAUGGUUCACUCAUUGUGAAUCAGUCUGAAAAGGGAUUGAGAUCUUCUCUAAUCCUGAAAGAAAAAAGGGAACUUUUUAGGCUAAUCCUGAUUCUGGAACACUGAACAACUAUGAAUACCGGAGCAAAAAUGACUUUAACCCAACUCUAGAGCAGGAUAAUUUUGUUGUCCAUUAUCACUGGUUGUUAAUGAAAUAAAGGUCAUCAAAGCAUACCUGUGGGCAUUUCCUGAGGCCUUUAUAAAAGGAUGACUUCCAUGUUGCUACCUACCGUGUCCUUUUAGAAAGGAGACACACCUUUUUUUUGUACCAGUAUGUCCCAGGUGGGGCUGUUCCUGUGGAGCCAAGUGUGGUGCUGCAGGCACUCCCUGCCUUAGUCCCCAAGUCAUGGCUGCCUCCUUGCAGCAGGGUGGCUAACAAAACUCAGAAUUUGUGUGUUUAAAGGCACAUACAUCCUGACAAACCUCAAAAGCACGUGCACAGUUGCAGCACUUCAGGCAAGGCCCUGACCUGGCCCUGGGGUUCUGGGCUGGCAUUGAGCUGCUCCUCCUCUAACCCAGCCUCACUCUGCACUGCCCCUCCAAAGACACAGGCAUGCCUGGUAGCUCCUGACUGGUUAGUGUUUCCUCCAGCCUCCGAAAGACUGUCUCUUUGGUAGCGGUAGGAGUGGCUUUUCCUUGAGUAGCAGGGAGGUGUCAGGGUGCCCCAGUAGGGGACAGAGAAGGCUGAUUGCACUAUGUGAUAGAGUCUGAGGUUUUCAAAUUGUGGGGCACCCCUGCCCUCCCUCAAGGAAUAGUUGAGUGGGCGAGUGAGAAUGCCAAGCAGCUCAGGCCAGCCCCAUGAAGUGGGCUUCAGGGAGGGACCAUCCCCUCCACCCCUGACUCACCUCAGCAAGGGUGAGUGUCCGAUUUCUGCUCCUGGCAGCCUCCAUGCCCACUGCUGGCUCCACCUCCAUCGUACACACCUUUCCCCACCUUGAAAACCCAAGAGGGGAGGGGCAGGUAUUGGCUCUGCCCUAAGGGUGCAGCCUGCCAGCAAGGCUGAAGCAGCCAGUUGCUGAGGUAAUUUAAUU